UUUAGGAGGAAAGCAAAUGCGGAGCAUUUUUUCAUGCUUUCCGACGAUUUGCCCUCGAACGAAUGUGAGGGGGCGCUGCCUUAG
rnacentral:sRNA from 1 species